AUACGUAGGGGGCAAGCGUUAUCCGGAUUUACUGGGUGUAAAGGGAGCGUAGGCGGGCGCCUAAGUCAGCGGUGAAAUGCAGCGGCUCAACCGUUGAACUGCCGUUGAAACUGGGCGCCUUGGAUGCGGUCGAGGCCGGCGGAAUGCGUGGUGUAGCGGUGAAAUGCGUAGAUAUUAGGAGGAACACCAGUGGCGAAGGCGGCUUACUGGACUGUAACUGACGUUGAGGCUCGAAAGCGUGGGGAGC
rnacentral:rRNA from 1 species